GCGUGGACAUCGAUCAUCAAACAUUCAAACCCCGUUGUGAUCCGACAUUUAAUUAUUCAUGUACACAACUUGGCGUGCAAAAUUCAACAGCCUCCUCGGAAAUACUGAUAAACUCGUUUCCCUUUAUAAGAAAAUUGAGUUACCUCCCCUUUUUUAGUACGAGUUGUCUUUCUUGACCGAACUAAUAGUUCAGUAUGUCUU
rnacentral:lncRNA from 1 species